UGAGAGGUUGAACGGCCACAUUGGGACUGAGACACGGCCCAGACUCCUACGGGAGGCAGCAGUGGGGGAUAUUGCGCAAUGGGGGCAACCCUGACGCAGCAACGCCGCGUGAAGGAUGAAGGUUUUCGGAUUGUAAACUUCUAUCAUUAAGGACGAAAAUGACGGUACUUAAUGAAUAAGCUCCGGCUAACUACGUGCCAGCC
rnacentral:rRNA from 1 species